AGUGUCCCCACCUCACCCUCUGAACCCAUCCUAGAUGUGGCUGCCAGCUCUCCAUGGCUGACCCAACUCCAGGAACACCCAACGUCCCUCAAUGUCCCCAAGUCCCCGAGGUGUCCUCGAGGUCCCCAAGGUGUCCCCAAUGUCCCCAAAACCCCAAACAUCCCCACCUCACCCUCUGAACCCACCUCAGACGUGGCUCCUCUGCUCCCUGCUCUCCAUGGCUGACCCAACUCCAGGAACACCCAAGGUCCCUCAAUGUCCCCAAGUCCCCGAGGUGUCCUCGAGGUCCCCAAGGUGUCCCCAGUAUCUCCAAGACCCCAAAUGUCCCCAAAGUGUCCCCACCUCACCCUCUGAACCCACCUCAGAUGUGGCUCCCAGCUCUCCAUGGCUGACCCAACCCGAGGAACACCCAAUGUCCCUCAAUGUCCCCAAGUCCC